UUUAAGUGCUUUUACUGGAACAACCUGUGGAUAACUCCUUAAAUAUGGCUGACAUUUUAUAAUCUGGCACUUCAGGUACUUUUACCUUGUUAACUGUGAGUGACCCAUUUCCGACGAGACAUUUUUGAGAACUAGUUUACCGCUCCAGGAGACAACUCAACUUUGGGCUGGCGACCUUAUAUACCCUUAAAUAUGGAGCAGAUUCCCGGUUUCUCUUCGGGUAAAUCACUAGUCCUGAUCGUCUGCUUCAUCCACCUCUCUUUGUGGUGAAAGAUGACAUGGAAAUCCACCAGAGAGGAGAGCGAUGCUGCCUCUGCAAGCUUUGAGGCCUCAUCUACCAGCCACAUAGCUUUUUGUCAGACACCCUGGUCCUCCCAUGCAAAGGCUGCUGCCCCACCCAAAGGAAUGUUAUAUUCCAAAUCAUAAACUAAUUUAUAAAUCAGGCAAUGUGUUACUUAAUGUGUAACCAUUUGAACAAGGUAACUGGGGCAACAGUCUUUGUAGGGACUGAGUCAGGUUUCCCAUUAUCUAUUUUUUAUCUUUCCCCCAAACACAGACACAUCUCAUAUCCUCAUCAUUUCACUUGUGUUGGUCAAAAGUUCAAAGGUGUCUUUGUUUUUGAUAAAGUCUGCUAAAUAAAGGCACUGAAUGUUGUUCAAAAUAA